GGAUUGUGGCGCAGCGGUAGAGUGCUCGCCUAGCACGUGCGAAGCCCUGGGUUUGAUCCCCAGCACCA
rnacentral:tRNA from 1 species